UACUAUCUAAAAAGGAAGAACUGGUUCUGUUUCCUCCGGUCGAAGGUUUCGUCCAACAUAUUUUCAUCUUACCAUUUUACCCUCCCACUAAAUCGCAUAAUACGCACAAAUGCCAAGAUACCGAUUCGUUCACAUCUACAACCUUUUCUGCCAAGGUCGCCUCCUUUGUUGCGCUGUCCUGCCCCGCCCCCUCCCACACCCCACCAUCCACUUUCUCCUCCAGCAUCCAGCCGCUACCUCACCCCACCAUCCACCCCUCCCCCGCAUCCAGCGCCACACAGCCUCCACAUCGCCGAUCUGGUUGUCAACGCAUCCUCAACAACCGUCACCGCCUCCACAUCGCGGAUCCGGCAUCCACCACACGAAUCCGGCCGACACCACCUCUCCCUCGAUUGUCCAUGUCCUCCACCGCACGGAUCCGGCAUACAGCACACGAAUCCGGCCGACCCCACCCCUCCCCCGACGCCCUGCCCAGAUCACGAGCAGAAGGAGCAGCACGAAGGCGCAGCUCGAGGCAUGGAGACAUGGAUCUCGGCAUAUGUGCCCAAGAUCUGGGCAUGGAGACCCCGAUCUGAACUCCUUGCUUGGUUCAGAGUAUUGCCUGGUCUAUUUGAGAUUCUUCAGAUGACUGGCUCGUUCAGAAUGGCUGAGGAAGGCCAGAGGAGGACCAGCGGGCUCAGUGUCUCUCUUGCUGGCCCGGAUGACCUGAUACUGUAAUGCAACUUGGUUGUACAGAUCAGUUAUAAAAUCUGGUAUAGCAUGAAUUGUACGAGUUGUUAGAGCCUUUCGCGGAAUCAUGGGGUGACACUCAUUUGAGGAAGGUCGAGGACUGGGAUGGGACAAUGGUAUUAUGUUCAACUAACAAGGGGAGUUGGCACUGUGUGGAGCGGGUUGGCACUGUUGCGGAGCAGCUGCCCUGUUUCUCUUCCCAUGUGCCGAAUUCAGGCACGUGGGCCAACUAACGGCUCAUCAUUAUUCCUCUGAGGCUAAAGUCAAAUUACUGUAAAGAGAAAGGAAAUGACGAUGAAAGACAGUUGUAUGACAAGAAAAAACAUCCUUCGUUGUGUUCUACAAUCACUUGCUGAAGACGCUUCCUGCACAAAUUUGCAGCAUGUACCAUUUUAUCAAGGCAUUACAGAGUAGAGUGAUGCACAUCAUGCUUUUGCCCGAAUUAGUAUUGGUGUUUUUCUUUGCACUGGCAGGACGCUGAGCUGAGUGCUUGCAUAAGGGAGAUGGAUCUCAGGUACCAUCAGGGUAGAUAUUUUGUUGCACAGAUACCAUUCACUUUCAUGGUGCAACCCAUCCACCCUAACCCCCAGCCCAUGAAGACAAGUAGGCUACUAAAUCAUGUUGGGCCUUGUAUGAACUGAAGCUCCUUACUUGCACAUGCUGCAACUGCUAGCUCGCAUUUCCUUCAGGAACCUCAAAUGUAUCUUCCUUUUUCAUAUAUUGCUUCGUGAACAUUCAGAGUGUGAGUCAUUUCCCGGCACAUUACUUUAGGUAGGAAAGUUGUUGCCUUUGGUAAGAUGUUCUUCAAAUCAAGUAUCUUUACUCGAAUGUUAUAUAUUAUAUUAAAUGUGUGGUGGAAAAGGAAGAGUAAUAACAAUGU